GCUUCGGGGCAGGGUGAAAAUCUUUGUUGAUUCAUUCCCUACCGGCGGUAAAAGUCCGCUAACGGUUCCGGUAGUCCGGUUCCGCCGAUACGGUGAAAUUCCGUAACCGACAGUAAAGUCUGGAUGGAAGAAGU
rnacentral:ncRNA from 1 species